AAUAGUACCUCUGCAUUGCAUUCAGCUGACUUUAAAAGCAUUGAUCUACUCUUUUGGACGAAACCACCGAUUUACACAUCUACCAGCAAGCCCAUCUAUAAACACACGCAUUGAUUCAUUCAGGCAUUACCACAGACCCACAUCGCACCAUCCCGGUUCACCACAGACCAUCUGUCAACUACAACCACAAAAACACACGAGCAACAAGAGAUCUUAAAAGAGAUUGAAACAAACACUGUCGAUCUCGUCCUGAGACUUUGUAGCUUUUCUGCUGCGGCGUCUGAAGAAGUUUUCAGAGUGAACUUCUGGCAAGAAGAGCCUCUGAGAAGAGAAGACCUGAGCAGAGAAGAUUACUUUAAGUUGUGUUGAGGUGGUGUGCUGCAGAAGCAGUGAGUUGUGUUGAGGUGGUGUGCUGCAGAAGGCUGUGAUUUGUGUUGAGGUGGUGUGCUGCAGUAGGCUGUAAGUUUGGUCGGGGACUCGGGGUAAGACAAAGGACAACAUUUCCAUUCUGUUGCAAUCGCAUGAGAGGAGGAAAUAUAUGAUAUAUUGUAGCUAGCAGAAGAUGAAGAGUUCAGUAAGGUCUGGAGAGGAUGAGAGAGAGAGCAAGAGGGGGCAGAGAGAGGGAAGAGGAGGAGAGAGCGAAAGAGAGACCGAGAGCGGGGGGCAGAGAGAGGGAAGAGGAUGAGAGAGAGAGAGAGUUUGUACAUUUCCUCAGUGAAAGCAAUGUACUGAGCAAAUGUCAAAUUGGCUUUUUACCAAAUUAUCGUACGACAGACCACAUAUUCACCCUGCACACCCUAAUUGACAAACAAACAAACCAAAACAAAGGCAAAGUCGUCUUAUGAUUUGUUGAUUUCAAAAAAGCCUUCAACUCAAUUUGGCAUGAGGGUCUGCUUUACAAAUUGAUGUAAAGUGGUGUUGGGGGAAAAACAUACGACAUUAUAAAAUCCACGUACACAAACAAGUAUGCGGUUAAAAUGGGCAAAUAAACACACAUUUCUUUCCACUUGGCUGUGGGGUGAGACAGGGAUGCAGCUUAAGCCCAACCUUCUUCAACAUAUAUAUCAACGAAUUGGUGAGGGCACUAGAACAGUCUGCAGCACCCGGCCUCACCCUACUAGAAUCUGAAGUCAAAUGUCUACUGUUUACUGAUGAUCUGGUGCUUCUGUCACCAACCAAGGAGGGCCUAUAGUAGCACCUAGAUCUUCUGCACAGAUUCUGCCAGACCUGGGCCCUGACAGUAAAUCGCAGUAUGUAACGCCCUGGCCAUAGAGAGGGGUUUUUUGUUCUCUAUUUUUGGUUAGGCCAGGGUGUGACAUGGGUGGGCGUUCUAGGUUUCUUUUUCUAUGUUGGUGGUUUUCUUUGUUUCGGCCGUGUUUGGCUCUCAAUCAGGAACAGGUGUAGAUCGUUGUUGCUGAUUGAGAGUCAUACAUAGGCAGCCUGUUUUUCCUUUGGGGUUUGUGGGUGAAUGUUUUCUGUCUAGUGCUUUGUUAUUCCUGACAGAACUGUUUGGCUGUCAUUUUCGUGUUUUCUUUUGCAAGUGUUCAUUCGGUCAUUAAAAUCAUUUAAGAUGAACUCUGACGACGGCCGUUACACAGUAAGACCAAAAUUAUGGUGUUCCAAAAAAGGUCCAGUCGCCAGGACCCCAAAUACAAAUUCCGUCUAGCCCUGGAGCACACAAAAAACUAUACCUACCUUUGCCUGAACAUCAGCGCCACAGGUAACUUCCACAAAGCUGGGAACGAUUUGAGAGACAAGGCAAGACGGGCCUUCUAUGCCAUCAAAAGGAACAUAAAAUGUUACAUACCAAUUAGGAUCUGGCUAAAAAUACUUGAAUCAGUUAUAGAACUGAAUUCACAAAAAAACAGAGCAAACUAGAAUGCUAUUUGGCCCUAAACAGAGAAUACACAGUGGCAGAAUACCUGACCACUGUGACUGACUCAAACUUAAGGAAAGUUUUAACUAUGUACAGACUCAGUGAGCAUAGCCUUGUUGUUGAGAAAGGCCGCCGUAGGCAGACAUGGCUCUCAAGAGAUGACAGGCUAUGUGUUCACUGCCCACAAAAUGAGGUGGAAACUGAGCAGCACUUCCUAACCUCCUGCCAAAUGUAUGACCAUAUUAGAGACACAUAUUUCCCCCAGAUUACACAGAUCCACAAAGAAUUACCACAGUGUGCCAUCACAGCAGCAAGAUGUGUGACCUGUUGCCACAAGAACAGGUCAACCAGUGAAGAACAAACACCAUUGUAAAUACAACCCAUAAUUAUGUUUAUUUAUUUUCCCUUUUGUACUUCAACCAUUUGCACAUCGUUACAACACUCUAUAUAGACACAUAAUAUGACAUUUGUAAUGUCUUUAUUCUUGUGGAGUGUAAUGUUUACUGUUCAUUUUUAUUGUUCAUUUCACUUUUGUUUAUUGUCU
rnacentral:lncRNA from 1 species